AUUGAACGCUGGCGGCAGGCCUAACACAUGCAAGUCGAACGAGUGGCGGACGGGUGAGUAAUGUCUGGGAAACUGCCUGAUGGAGGGGGCUAACUACUGGAAACGGUAGCUAAUACCGCAUACCCUCGGAUGUGCCCAGAUGGGAUUAGCUAGUAGGUGGGUUAAAGGCUCACCUAGGCGACGAUCCCUAGCUGGUCUGAGAGGAUGACCAGCCACCUGGGAACUGAGCCACGGUCCAGAUUCCUACGGGAGGCAGCAGUGGGAAAGAGUGCAAAAUGGGCGCAAGCCUGAUGCAGCCAUGCCUCGUGUAUGAUGAAGGCCUUCGGGUUGUAAAGUACUUUCAGCGGGGAGGCGUUACCCGCAGAAGAAGCACCGGCUAACUACGUGCCAGCAGCCGCGGUAAUUC
rnacentral:rRNA from 1 species